UGACCUACACAGGCACUGUCUACACUUCAUGAUGCCAGGGGGAAACCCUGAUUAUCCUGCUGUUGCCUAGCAACAGUUGCUUCAAGUGUAGACUCUCUCUCAUCAGUCGGAUCCUCAUUUGAUUGUGAACAAAACCUGAAGAAGCAAAGAAAAAUGACUUGAGAACAUCAUUUGGCUCUUCAGUCUCAUUUUUACUGUUUCCUGAAGCUACUCAGAGGCAGUGUCCACAUGGGCAAGAUGGAAUUUCAGAGGAAGAGCAGAAAACUCAGAUGUCCCUGGAUUUGCGACUCAGAAGUUGCAAAUCUUUGGAGCUGUCUUCUGUAUUAGCUAUGAGCUGGACUUCACGGAGCCACAGUUUCCUAUACUGAAAAGUGAUCACUGGAAGUCCUAAUGGGAGCAGCGACAGAAUGGGGAUGACCACGCUGGAAUGUGCAGCUCUGCUCCCCUGCAUGGCUACACUGAUGUACAUAUUAGAAAUGCUGUGUCUUCAGGUCAACUUCAAACAACUGUGGUCAGGGAAGGGCGGGUAGCGAAAUCACUGCCGUGUUCCCUCUCGCUUCAAACACAUUCUGACUUACACCAUCUCUUGGGGGCAGUUUUUUCAUCUGUAAAUGGGGCUGGUGUAUCCCUUAUAAGGUGUUUGAAGGAUAACAGGACUCCCUUAAGCGC